rnacentral:rRNA from 1 species
GAUGAACGCUGGCGGCGUGCCUAAUACAUGCAAGUCGAGCGCAGAAAGGUGGUACUUGCACCUACUGGAUUAGCGGCGGACGGGUGAGUAACACGUAGGUAACCUGCCUUUGAGCGUGGGAUAACAUUUGGAAACGAAAGCUAAUACCGCAUAAAAACUUUAAACACAAGGUUUAAGUUUGAAAGAUGCAAUUGCAUCACUUAAAGAUGAUCCCGCGUUGUAUUAGCUAGUUGGUGAGGGAAAGGCUCACCAAGGCGAUGAUACAUAGCCGACCUGAGAGGGUGAACGGCCACAUUGGGAAUGAGACACGGCCCAAACUCCUAAGGGAGGCAGCAGUAGGGGAUCUUCGGGAAUGGAGGAAAGUCUGGACGAGCAACGGCGCGUGGGUGAAUGAGGGUUUCGGGUCGUAAAACUCUGUUGAUAGAGGAGGAAGUAGGGGAGAGUGGAAAGUUCAUGAAGUGACGGUACCUACUCAGAAAGCGACGGCUAACUACGUG